rnacentral:tRNA from 1 species
AGCCCUGAGGUGUUUCACGUUAAAAUGCAAAUUUGAAGAAGGACCCUAGAGAGUCCCGGGGCUU